rnacentral:tRNA from 4 species
GCGGCCGUAGUCUAGCCUGGACUAGGACGGCAGCCUGCCACGCUGCGGACCCGGGUUCAAAUCCCGGCGGCCGCACCA